rnacentral:rRNA from 1 species
GAAAAAGAAAAUUUUUAAAUUGUACCUUUUGUAUCAGGGGAGUUUAAAAGUAAUGUUAGUAAAAGAUCGAGUUGAUCGGAUCUUUUAUAUUGACUGAAUAGUGGCAUUUAAUUAGUAAAGUAUUUAGGAGGUGAAAAGUAUACGACGAUCAUGAUAUCUAGUUGUUUUGUAAAAUUGAUGGGUAAAGCCAUCAAUUUUUUAUAUUAAUAAAAUUAUGGAGAAAAGCUAGGCUUUAAAUUAGCCAUGUUAAUAUAUUGUUUUAAAUAAUCUUUCUUACGCAGUUAUUAAGAUAAAAUUAUAAAGGCUGUAUAUAUUAAUAUAAGUUUGUAUUAAUAAUGAAUUUAUUGAAUAAAUUAAGGAAUUAAAAAAUAACUCAUUACAGGUCAGAAAGUUUAACAAAAACAUUUCUAUUUGCUGCAGGAAAAGUAAAGCCUGCCCGGUGAUAUUUAACGGCCGCAGUAUUUUGACUGUGCUAAGGUAGCAUAAUCAUUUGCUUUUUAAUUGGUAGCUGGAAUGAAAGGUUAAACUAAUUUGUUUAGUUUGUAUUAGUUUAAUAGUAAAUUUAAGUCAAGAUAAUAAUUUCUUGAUAGGCUAGGGGACGAUAAGACCCUAUAAGCUUUACAAAAUGGUUUUUUAUUGGUGAUAAAGUUAAGUUUGUUUUACUGGGGCGGUAUUAGUGUAUAAACCACUAUUUUUUUGGUUGAUCCUUUAUAUAAAGACAUAACGUAAAAGUUACUUUAGGGAUAACAGUGCAAUAUAUUUGGAGAGGUCUUAUCGAUAAAUAUGAUUGCAACCUCGAUGUUGAAUUAAGAAUUCUAAGUGGGGCAGCAUAUACUAGAGAGGGUUUGUUCAACC